rnacentral:lncRNA from 1 species
GUGGACAUUUUUUUCGAUUUUUGGAUUAACCGAAUCGGUUUGCGACAAAAUGAAACUAGUUCGGUAUCAAUAUAAAUAAUCGAUAUAUAUUAAUUAUUGGGUACUAGAUUUGAAAAAGUAUUUUGGACGUUCGGUACAUACCGUUUAUUUGAGUGAAGAUCAAUAAUGACGGUGAAUUUUGUAAUCGGUAUAUAUGAAGAAUUUGAUGGCGAAGUACCUGAUAAUAGCUCUGCUAUUGGUGUCAUCUGAGGAAUUAUGAUCCUCUGAGUCUCAAUUUUAUUGUUCAAAUUUAAAAUGUGUUAGAACGUGAUAUCAGAUCAUUUAUCUGUGUUGUGAAUGUUUUUUUUGAAACAUUCUGUAGAUCUAGUCUUUAUUUCGCUUUUCAAUACAUUUUUUGCAUCACGUU